rnacentral:rRNA from 1 species
GACAAACGCUGGCGGGGUGCAUGAGACAUGCAAGUCGAACGGGGUUGAGCGGGCUUGCUCGAUCAACCUAGUGGCGGACGGCUGAGUAACGCGUAGGUGACCUACCCGGAAGUGGGGAAUAACUGCCCGAAAGGGUGGCUAAUACCGCAUGUGGUCGGCGAUUCGGUUCGCCGCCCAAAGCCGUAAGGCGCUUCCGGCGGGGCCUGCGUCCGAUUAGCUAGUUGGUGGGGUAAUGGCUCACCAAGGCGACGAUCGGUAGCUGGUCUGAGAGGAUGAUCAGCCAGACUGGGACUGAGAACGGCCCAGACUCCUACGGGAGGCAGCAGUCGGGAAUUUUGCCCAAUGGACGAAAGUCUGAGGCAGCAACUCCGCGUGAGGGACGAAGGCCUCGGUCGUAACC